UUGAGCCUAUCCAGCUUCUUGUAGGUACUACAACAUAUAUAAAAGGUUGCACAUAUGUCAGCAAGUGACUAUUACCAUAUCCAAAUUCACAACCUUUAAGUCCUCCUAUCAAAAUAUUGCCUAUUGGUCUAAGAAGCCUGAAAUUAGAAAAGCAAAAAAAAACAAAUAAACCAAGGACAAACAAAGAAGAGAGAAGAAACCUGAGGAUGAUGGUGGUAGCGUGGUAAAGAGAGAAGAAGUUGUUAUACCUAGGAGAAGAAGAAGAAGAAGAAGAGGAUGCGAGAUUGUAGGACUAUAUAUGCCUCCUUCUUCGACACGAUCGAGGUUUCUCAUCAGUCCGUGGUUUCCAAAACGCCAUCUUUUUCGCCCAAGAGCUUUUUGGCUUCUUCGGUUUAUGUAUCGGCUCGUUCUCUCUUAUUCAUGAAAGUCUACUUGGAUCAUCGGCGAGCCUCUCUCUCUGUAUGAGAAUUGCAUAAAGAACAAGAUGGUUUUUUUCUUCUCUGGUUUUGGUUUCGAAGAUGAAGAAAAGAGAAUGAGUGAUGAUGUUGGAGAUUGAUUAGCCUUCACUUGAGUAUUUUAUAGGCACAACGUUCUUCGAUUUUUUUUUUUAAAAAGGAAACUUUCGAUUGUUUCCUUUUUUUUCUUCGACGGUUAAUUCUUUUUAUUAUUUGGAGUUGAGAAAAGAAAAAAAAAUGGAUCUCUGAGAACGUUCGAGAGAUCUGGAUCGUUUAUUGAGAUCGCACGGUGAUAAUCUAAUCUUAACGGUAAGAUUAUGUGGGACCGGGACGAUCUAUUUAUCAUUAUACCUCUCUCUCUCUCGGUCGUUCCAAACAAACACAUGUUCAUUAUGGAGAAGGAAAGAAGAGAUGGAGAUGAUGAUUCUGAACCAAAUCUCAAGAAACUGUUUAUAAUGGACAUGAUGAUGUUGGUGUUGGAAUCAGACCUUGAUUAAUACUCAAACU
rnacentral:lncRNA from 1 species